ensembl:lncRNA
UGAUACGCCCCCAACAGUCGCAGGGUCCGCCCUACUUCAGUUCACCCACCGCGCUACGUAGCCAGACCUCAAGCUCCGGAGGUCAUCCCCAGCAGCCUCAGACGCUUGGAAUAGCUGAGUUAUUCAGGAGUUGCCGCUGCCGCGUAGCGCAAACCAAUUUUCAAGGAUUUGCCACUCAACAGACUACGACCCCCGACCGCUUGAGGGAAGCUCCCUGUGCCCCACCCGCCUCAUGCAUAUUCACAAGCGUUCCUUUGGUGGAGUCUGCAUAGAGCCCUCCGGAAAAUAAAACGUAGGAACCCUGCUCAGGUGACC